AACGAACGCUGGCGGCAUGCCUUACACAUGCAAGUCGAACGGAUAUAUAGAAGCUUGCUUUUAUAUGUUAGUGGCAAACGGGUGAGUAACACGUGGGAAUCUACCUAUCAGUACGGAAUAACUAUUGGAAACAAUUGCUAAUACCGUAUAUUCUCCAAGGAGGAAAGAUUUAUCGCUGAUAGAUGAGCCCGCGCUAGAUUAGGUAGUUGGUAAGGUAAAAGCUUACCAAGCCGAAGAUCUAUAGCUGGUCUGAGAGGACGAUCAGCCACACUGGGACUGAGACACGGCCCAGACUCCUACGGGAGGCAGCAGUGGGGAAUAUUGGACAAUGGGCGAAAGCCUGAUCCAGCAAUGCCGCGUGAGUGACGAAGGCCUUAGGGUUGUAAAGCUCUUUUAGUAGGGAAGAUAAUGACUGUACCUACAGAAAAAGCUCCGGCUAACUCCG
rnacentral:rRNA from 1 species